UUCAUAUCUACCUUUGGCUAUCCUAAGUUCGAAAGCCAUCAAGAACACCUCCACAGGAGGUGUUUGCUGGCAGUUUCCGGCGAGAAAAAGAGGCAGCAUCCUUACGAUUUCCUUCCCUGUUUAAUCAAUUUUAGAGGCAGCCCAAGCACGCCCCUGUGAUCGAAGUUGCAGCCACUCGUUGCCCUCCUUGGUGACUGCUGAAACAGGAAGAAGAGGAGGCGAGAAGGUUGCCGAAACAACUUCCGGCCACCCCAUUUCCAUCGACAGCCACCAGGGCUAUUUUGGUGAAACAACGGGGUCUUGAACGGAGAAAAAAUCUCACCGAAACCUCCGUCUAAACUUCAGAAUCACACGCUCAAUGUGUUCAAAGUGGCCGGAAGAGCUCUCACCCAGUGUGAGAACGAAGCAUUUGACAUUGGAAAUAAAUGGUCAGCUCUAUAGUAGCCUUUUGUCUCUUUUAUGUUUUGCAAAAAAUUGCAUUCCGCGUUUAACGCUUAUGGAUUAAAUAAACAGUGUAACUAUUCGUAUUUCGGAUUUUGGAAAAAUGUAAUGAUGUAUAAAUCCUGCUAUUAUGUCAUUAUAUGUUGUUCAGUAUGAUUCAAAA